rnacentral:rRNA from 1 species
CAGCAGCCGCGGGAAUACAGAGGGUGCGAGCGUUAAUCGGAUUUACUGGGCGUAAAGCGUGCGUAGGCGGCUUUUUAAGUCGGAUGUGAAAUCCCUGAGCUUAACUUAGGAAUUGCAUUCGAUACUGGGAAGCUAGAGUAUGGGAGAGCAUGGUAGAAUUCCAGGUGUAGCGGUGAAAUGCGUAGAGAUCUGGAGGAAUACCGAUGGCGAAGGCAGCCAUCUGGCCUAAUACUGACGCUGAGGUACGAAAGCAUGGGGAGCAAACAGGAUUAGAUACCCCUGUAGUCCCUGUCUCUUAUAA